AAAUGAUCACUUGUGCAGGGGCCGAGCAAUUGUCAUUUGCUGACAUGCUGCCCUGUGCUGAGUCGCUGAGUCGCUUACCCUCUUCCUAUCUGCCCUGGCUGGCUGCUAACCAUGCACAGGGCGCACCCGCUGGUGCUGCAAGACCUGGAGGCGGCACUGCAGGACCUGCUGGCGGAGGAGUGGCAGGGGUGGUGGUGGCCGGGCAGCUGGUCGGCGGGCACGUGGCUGCGCGUGGGUGCGGCGGUGGGGCUGGUCGGCGGCGCGGUAGCGGUGGCGCUGAUGCCGGAUGGGGGCGGCCAGCGCAGCGGCAGCGUGAGCGGCACUGCGUUGGUGCCGGUGGGCGUGUCGAAGCGCUGAUGUGUGGGGCGAAGCAGGUGCGCCAGGACAGAUUUGGGUCAUUUGGCGGAGGCUUGGUGAGAUGUAUGACUUGGUGAAUGUGAGCGUGUCAGGCCGGGAGGAUGUAUGCUUGAGCAUCAUGGGGAUAGUAUCCAAGACUGGAUGGUGGGUAACAUGUCCGAGCAUCGAGUGACACCGUUCGACACUACUGAUCUGGGUCUAUGAAGCGGUUUCCAACUUGGCACUUCAGAGCGUGCCGCGAUAGAUUGCGUGAUGGAAUCGGGCGCGGCCAUAGGAUGGACAUUGAUGGUGGAAGGAGGAAGACUCCACCCGUCAUGAUUCUUACUCGCACUAUCUAGCGUGUGGGGGCGUGUGAUACCGUAAUGGCCUCUAAUGAUACCGUACUAUGAUAGGUGACGGUGGUGGUGUGCAUAUAACUCCAACGCUAUUCGGUUGGCACAGUGAUCUGUCGGUGCCGGUAUGGAGUAUGGAGUGUCGGGCGCAACCCUGCAAACAGCUGACUGGCAGAGGGGCGGCGGCGUGCGGACCCUGGGCAUAAGCUCUUGAAGCCAUCAGGUCGAUGACUGCCUGCGGGCUGGGGGCGUCUGUCUCGGUUGCUUUGUCACCAGCAAAAUUCAACAGCGUGUGUGCCGCGAGAGCGUGACGGCAUCAGGCGCGGCCAAAGGAUGGGAGGCAGGAGGAACACUCUCUCCCCGGCUCCUAGGACCCAGGUGUAAGCCUGCUGGUCCCAGGUUGCUUCUGGGUGUAAGCUUUCUCACUGCGCUAACUGCUUGGUGCCACCAAUUGCCCAGUUACGUAACACAUCCGGCUUGCAGGGGAAAGGCUUGGGGUAGGGGGCCUGGGACAGCCGGGGCACCGCUGCUCCAGGUCUGAGUCGUGUCUGGGGCCAGUCACUUCGGCCGUUCGCCUCCUAAUCGAUGCUGGCGCCCUCAAAACAGCAGCUACUGCGCGCUCCUAUAUACUUGUGAAUACAAAUAAACGGUAUACAUACAUAGCCACGGUUAGUAUACUUGUUUCGCGAGGAGUUUGUAAUAAGACGAGUCAGGGAAGGCCGUGUCUCCCUGCUUACAUGAACUAAUGUCCACUAAAACUUCUCAGCAAUCCCAGCCGCAUGCACAGCCAGCGAUGCCGGCAAAUGACAGCCGGGUGAGGAUGCCGCGUGGAUGGAUGUAUGGGUUUACCAUCGUUGCCGCACCAGCCGCACCUCAACUGAAAUGCUCUCUUACUUUCAAUGAUCAGGCUGAUGUAUGGCUGAUGGUGGCACUCGGUGGCCUGGUUCUAUGGAGGCGACGCUGCCUGUCGACUCAGGUGAGCGCCAACUGCCAGUAGUGCCUGUGCCGGCCCCACCUGCUCCCGGUCAAGGCCAAGCGCAUACUUGACUUCAACAAAAUGCGUGCAGCUGCGGGAAAGCGCCGAGAGAAUUGCGCUGAAGGCAACCCAGAGGGCGGCGGCUGGACCCCUGACACUGACCACAGAGGAGGUAUGGGUCAUGUCGCCAGCAGUCGGGCGUGAGUUUUCAUGUUUGUGCUUGCCAGCCAAAACCCGGUACGUACCCAAUCUUGCGAAACCUACCAUAGCGCUGACGGGUUCCACCCGUGAAUAUUGCACCUUGUUAUGCACCCACUAACUCACACCUGCAGAUGUGCCUGGAGUCGUGCGUGAAGAGUCCGGGCGACUGGGAACUGGAACACCUGCAAGUGUUCGGCGCUGACCCGGCAGUGGUGGAGCGCCUGGUGCGUGGGUGUGUCGGGCCCGCACAUCCGGCCGCAAUGCAUGAGUGGCCGUGGCACCUCCUGCAUGCCUUGCAUAGGGUGUUUGUCGCAAUUCGUCAUCUACAUGCUGCACGCCGCUGCAGGGUAACAUAGCGCACACCCAACUUAAGAGCAGUGUACCCUAGCUCCCCGCCGCCGCCACCGCCCGCAGGACAGCGAGGUGGUGCGGGCGCUGCAGCAGCCCGAGCUGCUGGGGCGGCUGGGGCUGCAGCACCUGGCGCUCUGCGACGCGCACAUGCAGCCGCCCUACCUAGUGCUGCUGUGAGUGCCCGCCGCCCGCCGCCUCCGGAGGAGCCUUCCGUACCACCGUGCUACUGCUGGGUUGCUUGCUUGGUUGCACACGUAGUUUGCAGUGAGAAGUGCCGGACCGGGAGGAGCAGCUAGGAGAAGCCAUCUGCAGUUGCCGCGCACCCGCUUGAUUGCGUGCAUAUGGCCCCACACUACUCUCACAAAUGCCUUUGGUACAUUUUGUUGUGUGCAGCCAGGGACCGGCCCGCACCGGCAAGAAGUCCAUGGUGCUGGUGAGUUCCGUGCGACACGAAUGAACAUCCGGAAGUGCAUGUGCGCCAUGGCCCCCGUCAUGCUUGACCCUUACCUAUUACUUUUAGCCUGAUGAUGAUCGCUCUACCGCCCUUCUUUAUGUGCUAUUGCUCCUUCGCACAUCCAUCUUGCGUGCCAAACUGCACGCACCCCAUACAGGAGCUCGCGCGCACAAACGGCAUUACCGUGCUGCACCUGGACAAGCACUCGCUCGAGGCAGCCCACAAGGCGGCGUGCUGCUGGGGCGCGCUCGGCAGCUGGUGGUCCGGCGGCGGCAGCGUGGUGGCGGCCGCCUUCUCGCUCGCCAAGAAGCUGCAGCCGUGCAUCAUCCUGCUGGGUGAGUAGAGAGUGCCGCGUGUUAGGUCAAGUCUCUUAAACGCUUUUGCCUAAGGCUUGUGUUGCAGUAGUGCCAUAUGCGGCGGCUGUGUAGGUUGUGCAAGGUUGGGUCUGGCACAGUGUGUGUCAGGGCAAACCAGGUGUCUAGUGUUGGUUUUACGGACGGGCACGUGCGCGCGCAGGGCUUGAUUGCACACCCUCGCUCCGUUACCUCGUCGGGGAUACUCUGUGGUGUUGGGCAUUGGGCAUGCAUAAACCGCGACGGCAUGCCACCCAUUCUUCAUCCCCCUACCGCCCGUCCCUCCAUUCAAAGCCCCACUUCUGUUGUGCGGGCAUGUGCGCGCAGACAACCCGCUCGGACUGCCGGCAGCCAUGCUGGUACGUACGUGGUUUCAUUUGCGCUGCCCCUUCCGUCUGCUGGUGACGUGCGCAUCGCUUCCGUGUUCUGCUAUGCGCUUCCACUACUCACGCUUGUCAUACUAAGGCGUUCUUCAAUCUCCCGGUGUCUGCCCUACCUCCUGCACAGGCGGUGAUCCGUGCCGAGGUGAAGCGCCUGCGCGCGGCGCCGCACAACUGGUCGCAGGAGCGCGUGUCGGUGGUCAUGACCAGCAGCGCGUCGCUGCCCCCGCAGCUGCCGGCGUACGUGCCGGCCUGCCACCGAAUUCGUGUGAGCAAGCACCCUUUGCGAUUGUGUUUUGGAAAGUCAAGCGAAAACGGUAUAUUGCUCGCCUGGCUCAUCAUCGCUCUUCGGAUUCCCUGUUUCUAAAUGGGCUGCUUGCAUGCCGCCUGAUCCUGAUCACCACAGGUGGCUCUGCCGACGACUCAGCAGCUGGGAGCCAUGCUGCACGGCUUCCUGCGGCUCAUGCAGGCGGCGUACCAGCAGCAGCAGCAGCAGCAGCAGCGGCAGCGGCAGCAGCAGCGGCAGCCGCACCCAAAGGCCGGAGGCGCGCUGCUCGGUGGCGGCCCCACCCCGCAGCCGCAGCUGAUGGCAGCGCUGGCGAACUACGAGGACGCCGCGGCCCGCGGCGGCGUGGCGGGCGGCCCGCUGGUUCCUGCCGGCGGUGACGGCGGCUUCGGCGCUGAGGUGCACCAGUACCUGCAGUCAUUGCAGGGCCGCACCGCGCCGCACGUGAGGUGGCUGGCGCUGCGGGCGCGGCUGCGGGCGGCGGGUGCCGACGGCGCGGAGUGAGUGUGCAGCACGUGCGGGGUUGGAACUUGGAACUGGAUGCUGUGCCCUGCUGCUGAGCCUAGCUCAAAUAGAUUAAGCCGCUGCCUAAUGAUCUUGAGUGUCCAUGAUGUAACUAUCUAAUCUCCUCGUCCCCUGUCGUGCGUGUCUCCUGCAGGGCGCAGUUCCAGCCAUUGACGCUGGCUCACCUGCGGGCGGCGCUGCAGGACCUGCUGGCGGAGGAGCACUUGCAGCAGCGGUCGUGAUUAUUGUUGGUGCCGGAGGGCUGUUC
rnacentral:lncRNA from 1 species